rnacentral:rRNA from 1 species
UACAGAGGUCUCAAGCGUUGUUCGGAUUCAUUGGGCGUAAAGGGUGCGUAGUGGCGCCGUAAGUCAGGUGUGAAAUUUCGGAGCUUAACUCCCGAAACUGCAUUUGAUACUGCGGUGCUUGAGGACUGGAGAGAGACUGGAAUUACGGUGUAGCAGUGAAAUGCGUAGAGAUCGUAAGGAAGACCAGUGGCGAAGGCGGGUCUC